rnacentral:rRNA from 1 species
AUUGAACGCUGGCGGAAUGCUUUACACAUGCAAGUCGAACGGCAGCACGGACUUCGGUCUGGUGGCGAGUGGCGAACGGGUGAGUAAUAUAUCGGAACGUGCCCAGUCGUGGGGGAUAACGUAGUGAAAAUUACGCUAAUACCGCAUACGAUCUACGGAUGAAAGCGGGGGAUCGCAAGACCUCGCGCGAUUGGAACGGCCGAUAUCAGAUUAGGUAGUUGGUGAGGUAAAGGCUCACCAAGCCAACGAUCUGUAGCUGGUCUGAGAGGACGACCAGCCACACUGGAACUGAGACACGGUCCAGACUCCUACGGGAGGCAGCAGUGGGGAAUUUUGGACAAUGGACGCAAGUCUGAUCCAGCCAUUCCGCGUGCAGGACGAAGGCCUUCGGGUUGUAAACUGCUUUUGUACAGAACGAAAAGGUUUCUAUUAAUACUAGGAGCUCAUGACGGUACUGUAAGAAUAAGCACCGGCUAACUACGUGCA